rnacentral:rRNA from 1 species
GACGAACGCUGGCGGCGUGCUUAACACAUGCAAGUCGAACGGAAAGGCCCUGCUUUUGUGGGGUGCUCGAGUGGCGAACGGGUGAGUAACACGUGAGUAACCUGCCCUUGACUUUGGGAUAACUUCAGGAAACUGGGGCUAAUACCGGAUAGGAGCUCCUGCUGCAUGGUGGGGGUUGGAAAGUUUCGGCGGUUGGGGAUGGACUCGCGGCUUAUCCGCUUGUUGGUGGGGUAGUGGCUUACCAAGGCGUUGACGGGUAGCCGGCCUGUGAGGGUGACCGGCCACAUUGGGACUGAGGUGCGGCCCAGACUCCGACGGGAGGCAACAGUGGGGAAUAUUGCACAAUGGGCGGAAGCCUGAUGCAGCAACGCCGCGUGCGGGAUGACGGCCUUCGGGUUGUAAACCGCUUUCGCCUGUGACGAAGCGUGAGUGACGGUAAUGUGUAAAGAAGCACCGGCUAACUACGUG